rnacentral:misc_RNA from 1 species
CCCAUAUUCGUUAAUUUGCUUACAAUAUACAAUGCUUAUGCUGAUGGAGAUCAUAAGAUAAUAGCUGUGGAACAUGAUUCUUUUAUGUGCAAACCACUUGCAACCAAGACCCUUUUUGCAUGUGUAUAUGAGAUCACGCCCUUGUAAAUUGUAAGUUGUAACAACCUAGGAGGCCUUCUUGUGUUUGUAUCUCUUGGCACAGACAAUGUAGAUGAACAUGUUAACUACGCUGAGUCCAGCUAAGAGCCAGAAGUAGUAAUCAAGAUGGCCCUUGUUCAAGUUGUCAGGAAUCCAUCCAUGCUUCCCACCCCCAGUAGUGAAGUAUGUUACCACAGUUAGAAUAAAAGAGCUCAGGUAAUUGCCCAAAGAUGUUGUCAGCAGCGACAAUGCACUGCAUAAACUCCUCAUGGCAUCUGGAGAUUGUUCAUAGAAAAACUCAAGCUGCCCGACGAAUGUAAAGACCUCUGCAGCACCUACUAACAUAUAUUGGGGGAUUUGCCAAAAGAUACUAAGAGCCAUGGCAGCAUCCUCAUCGACCAACCCAUGCUCUUUAGCGAGCUGCAGUCGCUUGAUCUCUACCAAAGCAGCAGCACACAUGGAUAAAACUGAAAUGAAAAGGCCAAUGCCCAUCCGUUGCAACUCAGAGAAGCCCCUCUCUUUGCCUGUGAACUUCCUUGCAAUUGGAACAAUGACUCUAUCAUAGAUCGGCACCCAGAAAAUAACACUGAUAACAUCAAAUGUCGACAAGGAAGCAGGGGGAAUGGUGAAAGAACCAAUUGUUGUGUCCAUCAGCAUCCCUUGUUCCACAAACAUUGUAGACAUUUGGGCAUAGACAGCAGAAAAGACAAUUCCUGUGGCCCAGAUUGGAAACAUGCGGACCAAAAUCUUCAAUUCCUC